rnacentral:rRNA from 1 species
GAACUCCUGGCGAGGCUCACGCUGCAGGAAGAGGAGGAAGACGACUUCAUCUGGGAGGAGGAGUUGCCGGAUAUGCUUGAGCCGGCAAAGUGGCUUGCGAUUGUUCGGGUUCAUACACUAAAAUCCUUUAGCCCUAAUGCUUUGUAUAAUGACAUGAGGGCGGCAUGGAAUCCAGCUAAGUCAGUGACAUGGAGGAAAAUCAAGGCAAAUUUGUUCACGGCACAGUUUGGAUGUCUUGGUGAUUGGAACAAGGCGAUGGCAGAAGGCCCAUGGCUGUUCAGAGAUCAGGCGGUAAUAAUGCAGGAAUAUGAUGGUUUUAAGAACCCAGAUGCCUUCAAGCUGGACAAGCUAUCUGUAUGG